rnacentral:rRNA from 1 species
GGGCCCGCACAAGCGGUGGAGCAUGUGGCUUAAUUCGAUGCAACGCGAAGAACCUUACCUGGACUUGACAUGCUGGUAGUAGAAACCUGAAAGGGUGACGAGCCCGCAAGGGAAGCCAGCACAGGUGCUGCAUGGCUGUCGUCAGCUCGUGCCGUGAGGUGUUAGGUUAAGUCCUGCAACGAGCGCAACCCCUGUGGUUAGUUGCUACGUUCGGUGAUGAAUCGGACAGCACUCUAAUCAGACUGCCUGUGAAAAGCAGGAGGAAGGUGGGGAUGACGUCAAGUCAGUAUGGUCCUUAUGUCCAGGGCUGCACACGUGCUACAAUGAUAGGUACAGAAGGAUGCAAAGCCGCGAGGUGGAGCAAAUCCCCAAAACCUAUCUCAGUUCAGAUUGAAGGCUGCAACUCGCCUUCAUGAAGCUGGAAUCGCUAGUAAUGGCGCAUCAGCUACGGCGCCGUGAAUACGUUCCCGGGCCUU